rnacentral:rRNA from 1 species
UGACGUGGAUGCUAGUUUCAUAGGUUAAGCCAUGCAUGUGUAAGCGAAGCGUAAGUGGAGCGGCGUAAGGCUCAGUAACGGGCGAUUAUUUGAUCUCUCUCGGUGGAUAUCCUCUGUAAACGGAGGGCAAAACACAGAAGAGGCGGUGGUUACAUCGUCUGUUUAACGAAUAGUGAGAGAGAGUAAGAUGCCAUCCCAUCAGUUAGUAAGUAGGGUAAGGGCCUACUUAGACGAAGACGGGUACGGGGAAUUAUCGUUUGAUUCCGGAGAGGGAGCCUGAGAGACGGCUACCAGGUCCAAGGACAGCAGCAGGCGCGAAAAUUACCGCAGCCUGCAUUCAGGGCGGUAGUAAGGAGACGUGAAUACGAUGUGCAGGUAAAUGAUGCACUAAAUACAGGAGGACAAGACUGGUGCCAGCACCCGCGGUAAUACCAGCUCCUGGAGUGUCUAUGAUGAUUGCUGCAGUUAAAGAGUUCGUAGUCGGAGCGUUUUGACCGGCGUGACAGACUGCCACUCAAGGGGAGUUUUGCGCCGUGAUUACCCGGAAUGAGGAGCGUCUAGGGGCCAGGUUAUUAAGCGACGAGGGGUGAAAUCUGGUGACUCGCUUAGGAGCGACAGAGGCGAAAGCGCUGGCCAGGGGCGAAUCCGAUGAUAAAGGACGUAGGCUAGAGGAUCGAAGACGAUUAGAGACCGUUGUAGUUCUAGCAGUAAACGAUGCCGAUGCCGUGGUGCUUUGUGAGCGACGCGGAAGAGAAAUCUAGUAGGGCCCUGGGGAGAGUACGCGCGCAAGCGAGAAAUUUAAAGGAAAUUGACGGAAGAACACCACAAGGAGUGGAGUGUGCGGCUUAAUUUGACUCAACGCGGGACAGCUUACCAGGCCCGACGGCCGGACGAGUGUGGUACACGAUAGGCCGGAGAGUGGUGCAUGGCCGUUAACGACGAGUGGGGUGACCUUAGGGUUAAGUCCGGGAAGUAGUGAGACCCCUGCGAAGGACAGGUGCUGCAAGGCACAGGAAGGAAGGGUCAAGAACAGGUCAGUGAUGCCCUUAGAUGGUCUGGGCUGCACGCGCACUACAGUGGUUUCCAGAAUUGUGUUGUAGAGGUAAUGGAGAUCGAGAGGGAAUGAGCUUUGGAAGAGGCUCAGGAACGAGGAAUUGCUAGUAAUCGCGGACUCAUUAAGACGCGAUGAAUACGUCCCUGUUCUUUGUACACACCGCCCGUCGUUAUCGAAGAUGGAGUCAGGCGCGAACAAGCGAGAGCGAGUGAGUGCAGGAUUCUAGAUCUGAUACAAGUCGUAACAAGGUAGCUGUAGGAGAACCUGUAGCUGGAUCAGAACGAGUAUAUUGGAUGGUUUAUAUAGCCCUGCGCAAGGGAUCUUUAGGUUCGCAUGGCGAUGAAGGGCGCAGUUGCGGGCGAUAUGUGCAGGAGCGGCAGCGAUGACGGCACGUGCCCGAAGCGUGAUAGCGCGGAUACCCCUUUGAAUUAAGCAUAUGAGUAAAGGGAGGAAAAGAAACUAACAAGGAUUCCUGUAGUAGCGGCGAGCGAAGAGGGAGCAGCCCCGAGUGUAAUCACGCAAGUGAGAUGUCUUAUGCGUUUAGUAAUGGUCUGGAACGGCCGGCCUGAGAGGGUGAUAGCCCCGUGCAACGCGAAUAGGGGAGUAGCAGUGUUUGGUAUUGCACUGUGAACGGGUGGCAGCGCCCAUCCAAGGCUAAAUACAGUGCGAGACCGAUAGUGGAUAAGUAGAGCGAUCGAAGAAGGAAUAGACUGAAAAAGUGAAAUUGCGCAGGGAGCUGAGCGGCUCAGCCCCGUCUUGAAACACG